AUGAGGACUAGUAUGAACGGCUUCACGAAAGCUAUACUGUCUCCUUUAUCUAAUCAGUUAAACUAAUCUCCCCGUGAAGAAGCGGGGAUACCCAUAUAAGACGAGAAGACCCUAUGGAGCUUUAAAUAUCUUUAGACAUUUGAAUAUACACAACUCUUAAACCACUAAAUUAAUCAUUUUGUCUUAAGUUUUAGGUUGGGGCGACCACGGAGAAAAAACCAACCUCCACAUGGAAAGAAACUCCCUUCUAAGCAAAAAGCUACAUCUUUAUGCAUCAACACAUUGACCUUAAUUGACCCAAUUGAUUGAUCAACGAACCAAGUUACCCU
rnacentral:rRNA from 1 species